rnacentral:rRNA from 1 species
UACAGAGGUCUCAAGCGUUGUUCGGAUUCAUUGGGCGUAAAGGGUGCGUAGGUGGCGGGGUAAGUCAGGUGUGAAAUCUCGGGGCUCAACCCCGAUACUGCACUUGAUACUGCCUUGCUCGAGUACUGGAGAGGAGAUUGGAAUUUACGGUGUAGCAGUGAAAUGCGUAGAUAUCGUAAGGAAGACCAGUGGCGAAGGCGAAUCUCUGGACAGUUACUGACACUGAGGCACGAAGGCCAGGGGAGCAAACGGG